UACAGAGGGUGCAAGCAUUGUCCGGAAUGAUUGGGCGUAAAGCGUCUGUAGGUGGUUUUUAAAGUCGACUGUCAAAUCCCAGAGCUCAACUUUGGACAGGCAGUCGAGGACUUAAGAGCUUGAGUGUGGUAGGGGUAGAGGGAAUUCCUUGUGGAGCGGUGAAAUGCACAGAGAUAAGGAAGAACACCAGUGGCGAAGGCGCUCUACUAGGCCACGACUGACACUGAGAGAAGACAGCUGGGGGAGCGAAUAGG
rnacentral:rRNA from 1 species